AUUGAACGCUGGCGGCGUGCCUAACACAUGCAAGUCGAUCGGUAACGCGGGGGCAACCCUGGCGACGAGAGGCGGACGGGUGAGCAAUGCUUGGGAAUCUGCCCAUCAGCGGGGGACAACCCGGGGAAACCCGGGCUAAUACCGCAUACGCUCUACGGAGGAAAGCCGGGGACCGCAAGGCCUGGCACUGAUGGAUGAGCCCAAGUCGGAUUAGCUAGUUGGCGGGGUAACGGCCCACCAAGGCGACGAUCCGUAGCUGGUCUGAGAGGACGAUCAGCCCCACCGGAACUGAGACACGGUCCGGACUCCUACGGGAGGCAGCAGUGGGGAAUAUUGGACAAUGGGGGAAACCCUGAUCCAGCGACGCCGCGUGGGUGAAGAAGGCCUGCGGGUUGUAAAGCCCUUUCGGUAGGGACGAAAGCUUCCGACCUAACACGUCGGGAGGUUGACUUAACCUACAGAAGAAGCACCGGCUAACUCUGUGCCAGCAGCCGCAGUAAAAC
rnacentral:rRNA from 1 species